UACGUAGGGUGCGAGCGUUGUCCGGAAUUAUUGGGCGUAAAGAGCUCGUAGGCGGUUUGUCACGUCUGCUGUGAAAUCCCGAGGCUCAACCUCGGGCCUGCAGUGGGUACGGGCAGACUGGAGUGCGGUAGGGGAGGAUGGAAUUCCUGGUGUAGCGGUGGAAUGCGCAGAUAUCAGGAGGAACACCGAUGGCGAAGGCAGUUCUCUGGGCCGUAACUGACGCUGAGGAGCGAAAGCGUGGGGAGCGAACAGG
rnacentral:rRNA from 1 species